rnacentral:lncRNA from 12 species
CAGGUGAUAAAGGGUCCUGCCGCGAGGCUCUCUGGGAAGCGUAGUUCUAGACCGGACUAAAACUCCUUGGGCUCGCCCCGGAAGACUACAGUUCCCGGUGAGCACUGCGCCCCCAAGGCUGCCGGAACCCUGGCGUGGGGAGGCGUGGGGAGGCGGGGGGAGGGGGAAGGAGAAGUAGAGGAGAGGGCGGGAGGCUGCCGGGGUCGGGAGGUGCGACUCCUCCUAGCGGGGAGUUGGAGAGGGUUGUGGCGGGGCGCGCGAGCGCGAGCAGGUGGUGCCGGAGAUGAAAGCUCAGGAACCGGGCCGGGCCGCCCAACUAAGUGAACUUGGCCCGUCAGCGGAGACCCGGACCCUCCGGCCGCGUUGCCGGCCGCGUUCACGCCACGAGCCCUCGCGCGCCUGCCGCAGGUCGGGCCGGAGCCUGGGCACCGCGGAGGAGCGAGCGAGCGAGGCGCGCGGCCGCCCGCGCCGCCGCGGAGCCGACCCCGGGCGAGUCCGCGGCACCGCGUCCCUUCGCGUCGUACGCGCUGCGGCGGGGCGGGGGCGCCUGGACCCCGGCCGGCCUCGAGCGUCCCUUCGACUUCACUUUAGCAUGAGCCUGUGCUGCCUCUGUAGACAGCUGGAAGCAGCUGUGUCAAGACCUGCAGUGUUAUCAUGGAUGCCUAAGUUAGGCAUUUGUUGAUGCAUUUCCUUGGUGGUCAGCAUUUGUUACCCAGUAAAAAUGUCAACACCUGCAAGUUUCUUCCUAAGUCUCCCAACAUUUCCUGAGAAUGGCUGAUUUCCAUAUUUAUUGAAUAUUAUUUUUAAUGGAAGUGCCCCUGACCCCAACCUGUUCUACAAGAAAUGAAAUUGUGCUUUAUUUUCUCUCAUUUUAUUUUAUUGUGUCUUGAACCUAAUAUUUUUAUAGUUGAAAACUCUGCUUUCUAGCUUUUUUCCUUUUUGACUCAUAUUGAUGGUUUUUACUUGGAUCUUCAACUAAUUUCACCAUGAAAACUAGCAUAGCGAAGUGAAAUCAAUUGGAUAAGAGAUUGCCACUAGUGCUGUGAACUUUUAACUAUACAAUCAAUGAGUUUACUUCAGGUUGUGUCCUAAUGUGAAAGAUUAACCUAUUGCUUAGAAAUCUGGAAUUCGGGAUCCCUGGGUGGCGCAGCGGUUUGGCGCCUGCCUUUGGCCCAGGGCGCGAUCCUGGAGACCCGGGAUCGAAUCCCACAUCGGGCUUCUGGUGCAUGGAGCCUGCUUCUCCCUCUGCCUGUGUCUCUGCCUCUCUCUCUUUCUCUCUCUGUGACUAUCAUAAAUAAAUAAACAUUAAAAAAAAAAAAGAAAUCUGGA